rnacentral:misc_RNA from 1 species
GAGAGAGAGUUUCUAUUUAGUAAUUGCAAGCUAAAACGCUAAUGGAUAUGUUACGAGUCCCAAAACGGACUAACACAGUAAAAAAAAGCUCCUGCUAGCUAUAUUUUACAUGCUUAAACACCGUUCUUAGUACGACACUUGCACUUACACCAUAGGCUAAAUGUGUAAAAGUAAAACUAAUGAUAAUAAAGCAUCAAGGUUGGUUUCUACCAUUUGACCAAUGUGUUUCAUCAUGAUUUGAGGGGCUACAGUAAAAUUUAAAAUUGACAAACCCCAGCACCUAAUAUCAGACUCAGAGCUGCCCAAAUGAGUGAGCAAGAUAAGCCAAUGCUCCAACUAGAGGAGCGUUAAUAUAAGUGGAUGGCUCUGACUGCUCAUAGUCUGAUCUUUGGUCUGGGAACUUAUCGUGCUGAUCUGGGCCUCCAACUACUGCACCCACAAGAAUGUUGGGGUUCGGGGACUCAGAAUUCAUGAAGCUGAAGCCCGAUGAGCAUUGGAUCAUGGCAGGGUGCGCGGCUAUGGACGGUAGAGAUGAGCCCCUGUGGUGUAUCCUUUGUGGGUAUUUUGGACCGUAUCCCACCAUGUAGGACAUCUUCAAGGGGUUGUCUCCCAGCAGAUAGUCCACCUAAUUUUUCAAUUUCAGUGUUUAAAACAAUAAAAUGGAUUAAAUUACUAAUAAGAAAUUUGAAUUUCGCAUUAAUAAGUUAGAUUAAUUUUAUGGUUUAAGAAUGUUUCUUGCACCUGUUUCUUGGCAAUGUUUCGUAGCCUAUUUGGAGUGACUACAGUUCCCCCACAGUUCACAACCUUGUGGGCAGAGGUCAAGUACUUGGCGUAGGUUAGGAGCAAGAACGAAGUGGAGGUCACAUACUGCAUGUUGCUAUCACUCAUCUUGAACAAAAGUCCACCUGGAGUAUAUUGUGCUGAAGAGAAAGGGGCCCCUGGAAUGAUGGAACAGACGAAAUUAUCUGCAUGGCCUUUGUAGUCAUGGAGGGAUUGCAGUUUUUGAACAAGAAAUGCCUUGGAGAGAAGAAUUCUUGCUCCCACAUGCUUGUUGUCCCAACCAAAGGUGUUGUCAAACUCUGCAGCCCCAAGGGUCUGCCCAUUAACUUGGAUGUAGUUGAGGUAAGUAGGGUACUUGGUUGCCUUAUGCAGCCAGGCAGCUCCCCACAACAGCUCAUCCUCAUAUCCAGAAUAGGAGCAAUAAAAAGGGCAAACAUUUUUCUUCAAUCCAUUGCUGUAUGCUCCUCUAUGCUCGUCUGCAAAUUGAAACACCUAGACAAAGACAUAAUUAAUGGCAAACAUUCUCGUUUAAUUUACUAUAUAUUUUUUUAAAAUAAUUUGACUCUAACUAUAUAUUCACCCUGACAGCCCUCCGGACUAAAAGCUUCGAGUAAGUGGGGUCACUUCUUCUAAACACCAAAGAGGCUGCAGCAAGAGCAGCAGCAGUUUCAGCAGCAACAUCAGAACCAGGGGAAUUUCUGUCUACUUUGAAAACACUCCUUGGUGUAUCCAUAUCUUCUGGUCUUUCCCAACAAGAAUGAUCCUUGUUCGCAUCACCAACCUGAACGUAGAUGACGUCUGGAUGUACUGUAACUUUGAGAAGGUAAUCAGUAGCCCAACGAAUGGCGGCUUUAGCAUUUUGCAACUCGCCUUUCAUCAGCCCACCAAACUCAAUGACGCUCCAUGAGAGCAUAGUGGUAGUGAAAGCCAUAGGGAAACCAAAUUUCACAUUGUCCCCUGCAUCAUAG